rnacentral:lncRNA from 1 species
AAGCUCUUGCAAACACACAAACAUAAUCACAUCAAAUUAAACAGGGGGGAAGGGAAGCUCUUGCAAACACACACACACACACACACAAGGGCUUUGCUUUCGUACCAAAUUUAUUAGCAAACCAAAGACACAAUCUUGAAAACAUUUACACUUAUCACUUAGCCAGAGAUCUCAAUGGCCUUAACUUCAGGUUUCUUCUCCUCCUGUUUAGGAACAGUCACUGUGAGCACACCAUUCUCCAUGCUGGCCUUAACCUGUUCCACCUUAGCAUUGUCGGGCAACCUGAACCUCCUCAGGAACUUGCCACUGCUCCUCUCGACGCGAUGCCACUUGUCAUUCUUCUCUUCCUGCUCCUUGCUCCUCUCUCCG